CCUCGAUAGCGUAGAAGUUAACUCAAAUUUGUGUGUAGUUGGAACAUUUGCUUACGUUUUCCGCUAGGGGUUCUGUUCCAACUGCAUACACAUUAGAGUUAACUUUUACGCUAUCGA
rnacentral:pre_miRNA from 9 species